rnacentral:rRNA from 1 species
GUGAGUAACACGUAAGCGACCUGCCCUUGAGUGGGGGAUAACCCCGAGAAAUUGGGGCUAAUACCGCAUAAAGUGUUUGGGGUAAGGCCCGGACACCAAAGCCUUCGGGUGCUUGAGGAGGGGCUUGCGGCCUAUCAGGUAGUUGGUGAGGGUAACGGCCCACCAAGCCGAUGACGGGUAGCUGGUUUGAGAGGAUGAUCAGCCACAUUGGGACUGAGACACGGCCCAGACUCCUACGGGAGGCAGCAGCAGGGAAUAUUGCGCAAUGGGCGAAAGCCUGACGCAGCAACGCCGCGUGGGUGAAGAAGGCCUUCGGGUCGUAAAGCCCUUUUCUUGGGGAAGAAGCACUGACGGUACCCAGGGAAUAAGCCUCGGCUAAUCACGUGCCAGCAGCCGCGGUGAUACGUGAGAGGCGAGCGUUAUCCGGAUUUACUGGGCGUAAAGGGCGUGUAGGCGGUUGGGCAAGUCCUUUGUGAAAUCUCCUGGCUUAACCGGGAGGGGUCAAAGGAAACUACCUGACUUGAGGGUAGCAGGGGGAGAUGGAAUUCUCGGUGGAGCGGUGAAAUGCGUAGAUAUCGAGAGGAACACCAGUGGCGAAGGCGAUCUCCUGGGCUAUACCUGACGCUGAGGCGCGAAAGCGUGGGGAGCAAACAGGAUUAGAUACCCU